UAUAAAGAAGUAACGUCCACCAUGUCGUCAAUAAUUGGCCAUCAAAUGAUCUCGUUUGUUGUGUCGCACUUUUAAUAUUGCUUAGGUUAAAACAAACUUUACAAAAAAUAAACUCAACUUUUCUAUUAAAAGUUUUUAGUCCGUUUUACUCAUUUGGUUAAGCUAAUCUGUUUUAUUCGUGAUAGUUAACUAUAGCUAACAUAGUCCAAGCUUGUUGCUAUGGAUGUGAGUUUAAGGGUCAGUGCGCAGUGAUUCAGAACGCUACUGACCGGGACUAUGUUUUGGUCCAUGUAACUGGUAGUAAAGCUUCAUUUAUGUAUUUAUUUUUCUAACAAAAUAAAGCUUUAUUGUACCCAGCAGACAUUACUAACGUUAACGUUCAGAUUUAUAGGCGUCCCCCUUUAAAUGGACACCUCUGGACGGUGAAGUCUGAGGACGCUUACCUGGCUUGGCAGAGGAGACCGAUGCUGCCAUGACUGCGAGCAGCAUGAGAAGUCGAGAAAUCCUCCUCUGGGAGAAUCCAGUACGAACAAGUAGAUCUCUUCUGAGGAUAAUCGCUAUGUCCCUGAAGGAAUGUGUGUGUCCAGAGUGAUUGUCUCUGUGUCUGAGAGCGAAGUGACAAAGGUGCUUCUCCCCCUUCCUCCUUUAUACAGCCUUUUUUAGAGGGAGGGAGGGGGGCUGGGUGGGUAGUUCCCACAACAGCCCCCCCCAUACACACACAAACUCUCUUUCCCUCAAACACACACACAAACACACAUUUCGGCACAUAUUGACCCCACAUGUAGAGGGGUAAUUCAAAUGACAGGAAGCCCCCUCCGUGCACCCUGAACUGCCCCUUGAACACACACCCUUAUGCUGCAUGCUGUAUUUUGUGUGCGCAAGUGGCUGAUAUUUUCAAAGAGAGCGGAGCGAGCAGGCAGGGAAGAUUUAUCACCUGUAACAUUAGAGCAAAGAUUUAAGAAGCUGUGACUGGAAAUAGCAGGUCCUCCAAGAACCAGAUCCCGCCUGGCUCUCCCCUGCCCCCCAACAGAUGACGACACACACACACUUGGAUGCACACACACACACACACAUAUACAUCUGGAACUUUUGGGUGUUGAGGUGGUGGGGGCAGUUUGCAUCCAGCAUUUUGGGGGGCAGCGGUCCUCCGAAUGAAAUCUAGGGGACGGCAGACUAAUGAUGGCCAAAGACGUCUUGACUGUCUGUGUAGAUGCCGUGUACUGUCUCUGAGUGGCAGCAUGAAAGCCUGCCUCUGUAAUGUUGGCAUUUAGUUGGUUGUUUCUCUCAUCACAUGGAUAAACCGUUACACUUAAAAAAAACCCCCACAAUAUCUUGGUGAACUUGAUAAAUAUCUUAUAGCACAAGGAUAACCAG
ensembl:lncRNA